AAAGGCCUACGGGGGGCAGCAGUGGGGAAUAUUGCACAAUGGGGGAAACCCUGAUGCAGCGACGCCGCGUGAAGGAAGAAGUAUUUCGGUAUGUAAACUUCUAUCAGCAGGGAAGAAAAUGACGGUACCUGACUAAGAAGCCCCGGCUAACUACGUGCCAGCAGCCGCGGUAAUACGUAGGGGGCAAGCGUUAUCCGGAUUUACUGGGUGUAAAGGGAGCGUAGGCGGCGAUGCAAGUCAGAAGUGAAAGCCCGGGGCUCAACUCCGGGACUGCUUUUGAAACUGCAUGGCUAGAUUGAAGGGGG
rnacentral:rRNA from 1 species